GAUGAACGCUAGCUACAGGCUUAACACAUGCAAGUCGAGGGCCCGGCGCACGGGUGUGUCACGCGUCCCCCACCUACCCAUCACUGUGGGAUAACCUGCCGACAGGCAGUCUUAUCCCGCCUAGUAAUGGAUGGGGAUUCUGCUUAUUUGGUUGUUGGCGGGGUACCGGCCCACCCAGGCAACGAUCAGUAGGGGUUCUUGGAUGAAGGGCCCCCACGUUGGAAGUGAUACGCGGUCCAAACUCCUACGGGAGGCAGCAGUGAGGAAUAUUGGUUAAUGGGCGCGAGCCUGAACCAGCCAAGUAGCGUGCAGGAUGACGGCCUAUGGGUUUUAAACUGCUUUUGUAUGGGGAUAGGUACCAUACGAAUAAGGACCGGCUAAUUCCGUGCCAGCCGCCGCGGUAAUAC
rnacentral:rRNA from 1 species